GUGUCCCUUUGCCUCUUGCUACAUAAACAGUCCAACGAGCAGCCGGCCUGUGCCUUUGUCUCGCUCGCCGCCUCGCUAGAGCCAAGAGCUAGCACCAUUUGUUUUCCUCGCUCUCAAGAGAAGAGCAGCAAGGGAGCGAGAACCAAGAAGGCAUCCAUCCAAGGCGCCAUGGCGUCCAACGGCAACGGCAGCUUGGCCAACGGCGCCUCCACCCGGGGAAAGCCCAUCAAAUGCAAAGCUGCGGUGGCAUGGGGCCCCGGCGAGCCGCUGGCGAUGGAGGAGGUGGAGGUGGCGCCGCCGCGGCGUCUGGAGGUGCGCGUGAAGCUGCUCUUCACCUCCAUCUGCCAUACCGACCUCAGCUUCUUGAAAGGAGAGAACGAGCUACAGCGCAAGUUUCCCCGGAUCCUCGGCCAUGAGGCAGCCGGAGUGGUGGAGAGCGUGGGCGAGGGAGUGGAGGAUCUCGCCGCCGGCGACCAUGUGGUCCUCAUCUUCAACGGCGAGUGCGGGGCGUGCGCCUACUGCGAGUCCGGCAAGACAAACCUGUGCGGGACCUACCGCGUCAACCCUUUCAAGAGCACCAUGGCCUCCGACGGCGGCACGAGGUUCUCCGUCGUGGACGGGUCUGGCAAGCGCCGGCCGGUGUACCACUUCCUCAACACCUCCACCUUCGCCGAGUACACCGUGCUGGACGCGGCCUGCGCCGUCAAGGUCCACCCCAAGGCCCCGCUGGACAAGAUGUGCCUCCUCAGCUGCGGCAUCUCCACAGGUGUGGGGGCUGUAUGGAACACUGCAAACAUUUCUACGGGGUCCACCAUAGCAGUAUUCGGGCUUGGUGCUGUUGGUCUCGCGGUUGCUGAGGGUGCAAGACUACGUGGGGCGGCUCGGAUAAUCGGUGUUGAUAUAAACUCCGAAAAGUUCACCAAAGGGAAAGAGAUGGGCGUCACUGAUUUCAUCGACUCCAAGGCCUGUGACAAGCCGGUCCAUGAGGUGAUCAGGGAGAUGACGGAUGGGGGUGUCGACUGCAGCUUCGAGCAGCUUCGAGUGUACCGGGAUCAGCGAUGUGCUGCGACAGGCCUUCGUAUCCACGCAUGAUGGCUGGGGCAUGACGGUGGUACUAGGGAUCCAUGCGACGCCCAAGGUGAUGCCGUUGCACCCAAUGGAACUCUUUGACGGCCGUCGAAUCACCGGCUGCGUCUUCGGCGACUUCAAGGGAAAGUCCCAGCUGCCGGAUCUCGUCGACAAGUGCAUGAAUGGGAAGCUGAACUUAAACUUUGAUGGGUUCAUAACACACAAGAUGCCUUUCUCGGACAUCAACAAGGCCUUCCAGCUUCUGGAGGAAGGCAAGUCCCUUAGGAGCGUGCUCCAUUUCUGAUGGAGAGCUUAGCCUUAUUUAGGUUACAAAAAUAAAUGUAGAUUCUUUUUUUCACCAGUGUUGAGUUGUAUAACACAUGUAGGACACAUGUGCAUCAUGUUAUCUUUUGUAAAAAAAAGGGCGCGUUGAGACAAUUGUUUAGGAGUACAUAAUAUUUAUCAUCUGUGAUAUCUUAUCCAGCUUGUUUCUUCUGUAUA